UAGUGGUUGGGGUGAGAGAGAUAGUGGUUGGGGUGAGAGAUAGAGAGUGGUUGGGGUGAGAGAAAGAGAGUAGUUGGGGUGAGAGAGAGAGAGUGGUUGGGGUGAGAGAGAUAGAUAGUGGUUGGGGUGAGAGAGAUAGUGGUUGGGGUGAGAGAGAGAUAGUGGUUGGGGUGAGAGAUAUAGAGAGUGGUUGGGGUGAGAGAGAUAGAUAGUGGUUGGGGUGAGAGAGAUAGUGGUUGGGGUGAGAGAGAGAUAGUGGUUGGGGUGAGAGAUAGAUAGUGGUUGGGGUGAGAGAGAGAUAGUGGUUGGGGUGAGAGAGAGAUAGUGGUUGGGGUGAGAGAAAGAGAGUGGUUGGGGUGAGAGAGAGAUAGUGGUUGGGGUGAGAGAGAGAAAUAGUGGUUGGGGUGAGAGAGAGAUAGUGGUUGGGGUGAGAGAUAGAUAGUGGUUGGGGUGAGAGAUAGAGAGUGGUUGGGGGAGAGAAAGAGUGAAGUUGGGGUGAGAGAGAUAGAUAGUGGUUGGGGUGAGAGAGAUAGUGGUUGGGGUGAGAGAUAGAGAGUGGUUGGGGUGAGAGAAAGAGAGUAGUUGGGGUGAGAGAGAGAGAUAGAUAGUGGUUGGGGUGAGAGAGAUAGUGGUUGGGGUGAGAGAUAGAUAGUGGUUGGGGUGAGAGAUAGAUAGUGGUUGGGGUGAGAGAUAGAUAGUGGUUGGGGUGAGAGAUAGAAAGUAGUUGGGGUGAUAGAUAGAGAUUGGUUGGGGUGAGAGAGAGAUUGUGGUGUGGGUGAGAGAGAGAUAGUGGUUGGGGUGAGAGAAAGAGAGUGGUUGGGGUGAGAGAGAGAGAUAGUGGUUGGGGUGAGAGAGAUAGUGGUUGGGGUGAGAGAGAUAGUGGUUGGGGUGAGAGAUAGAUAGUGGUUGGGGUGAGAGAUAGAUAGUGGUUGGGGUGAGAGAUAGAUAGUGGUUGGGGUGAAAGAGAGAUAGUGGUUGGGGUGAGAGAGAUAGUGUGGUUGGGGUGAGAGAGAGAUAGUGGUUGGGGUGAGAGAUAGAUAGUGGUUGGGGUGAGAGAUAGAUCGUGGUUGGGGUGAGAGAUAGAUAGUGGUUGGGGUGAGAGAUAGAUAGUAGUUGGGGUGAGAGAUAGAUAGUGGUUGGGGUGAGAGAUAGAGAGUGUAUUUGGGGUGAGAGAUAGAUAGUAGUUGGGGUGAGAGAUAGAUAGUGGUUGGGGUGAGAGAUAAAUAGUAGUUGGGGUGAGAG
ensembl:lncRNA